rnacentral:rRNA from 1 species
UACGUAGGGGGCGAGCGUUGUCCGGAUUUACUGGGCGUAAAGCGCACGCAGGCGGUCUGCGAAGUUUGGAGUGACAGUUGGUGGCUCAACCACCAAAGUGCUUUGAAAACUGACAGACUUGAGGGCUUCAGAGGGACACGGAAUUCCGGGUGGAGUGGUGAAAUGCGUAGAGAUCCGGAGGAACACCAAAGGCGAAGGCAGUGUCCUGGGGAGUACCUGACGCUCAGGUGCGAAAGCCAGGGGAGCGAACGGG